AAACAACACCUGGAAGAAGAUCAGCUCUGCAGUCAGGAUUUUAGAUUUCUGGGAGCACUAAACUGGAAGUCAGGCGCUCUGCUGGGCGAAGUCGGCUGCUCGGUGGUGUUUGGCAGUGAUAUGGAGCCAAUGAUGUGGAAGCAGUGCUGAAAGUAAAAAUGUACAAUGCCAACAUUUUCUUCUGGUGACUGGGCUGGGUCAUUCUCAGAUUCAAGGCUCCGAGCUGAACUCCACAACAGGAACAGAAGAAAGACAUCAGGGAGGCGUUAACGUUCAUCUAUUCAAUCUACACUCAGACAUCCAUGUUAUUGUCCUCAAUGUUUCCAGCAGCACAGACGGCGCUUCAAUGGGCUGAUUGAUAUCAGAAAUUCAAUGGACAAUAGUUGGUUUAGGCGUUAUGAAUAUGGGAUACAGGAAGAACACAACAUUGUGUUUAUUUGUUGAUUCA